ACUCUGUUUUUCGUAGUUGAGCUAGUUUGUAUGUAGUUAAAAAGUAACAUCGACUGACAGCAGUAACUAUGUGUUACAGGUGAUGGGAAGGUCUUCACCAAAUGACAAGCUACAGGCCUAUAAAAGGACAGUCUGCUGGACCAGCGUAGGAGAAGUGCAGACAUCGAGGAUGAUUUUUCGAUGAAAUUGGCUGAUAUGUUAAAAUAGUUCAAUGAAUGCUCUAGUUCUUUGAGUAGGCACAGAGAGAUGGACAGAGAGCUUGAAUUGAAGGAACACUAAUGUCCCUGUCUUCCCUGAAGAAGUAUGUGUCACCUAGUUGGGGGCAGCCAUUUGUAGGAGCUAGCAUUUUGGCAGUUUCAGGGAAUGGAGCUAGCAUUUGGAGAGAGGCUGAACUUGAAUCUUGGGACGACAAACUCAAUAAAGGCCUGGUUGUAUUUCGUGACGAUGGAAGCUCAGAGACGGUGGGGGCAGAAGCAAUGUCAUUAUCAUUCGAGUGAGAGAUCGAAGUAGACUGAUCAUAAGACUCUACGAAGGCUUGCUCAGAACCGUGAGGCAGCAAGGAAAAGCCGGUUGAGGAAAAAAGUCUACACUCCGAGGAUUGCGCCUUAUGCGAGGAAUUUGAUGUGGUUCGUGAGCAAUGGGCCAAGUUUUUUACCAGCAAGUAUUUAUUAUUGGCUUUAGCGCGCUUGAUCGAGUUGGUUUAGUUGUUAUAGAAUAAAUUUUAUAUUAAAAUGUAUGUUUAUGUUGAAAUUGGAACAUAUAUUUAAAUGUAAUAUGUGCACUUAAUUUGGUUUUGGGAUAUAUAGUAUACAAAACUCCAGUUGUUGUUUUUA